GCAUUGGUGGUUCGGUGGUAGAAUUUUUGCCUUCCAUGCAGGAGACCUGGGUUCAAUUUCAGGCCAGUGCA
rnacentral:tRNA from 1 species